rnacentral:SRP_RNA from 1 species
GCCACACUGGAGGCUGAGGUGGGAUCUCUAGGCUGAGGCAGGAGGAUUGCUGGAGGCCAAGAGUUCUGGGCUAUACUGUGCAAUGUGGACGGCGUGUCUGCCCUAAGUUCCCUGUCAAUAUGUUCACCUCCUGGGAGCAGGGGACCACUAAGUUACCUAAGCAGGGGUGAACUGGCUCUAGCUAGAAACAAAGCAGGUCAAAACUCAUGCUGAUUGGUAGUGGGAUCAUGCCUGUGAAUAGCCACAGCACUCUGGCCUAGGCAAUACAGCCAGCCUGUUCCUUA